GGGUUGAUAGUAAUAACUAGAUAAUAUGCAAAAAAAAUGGCGACUGGCUAUCAGUAGCCUGUCAUAUUCGCCAGUAGCCUCUCUUAAUGUAUUUUUCGGGCUACGGUAGCCUGAAGGCGACUGAACUCAGGCUAUUAUAGAUACAUAAUGUGGGUGUAAUUAUAUUAAACCUAGCCCUAUAUAAACGUGCGAUUUAGCUAACGCUGCUGAUCAAUUCGGUGAGCGUGUUUCUUGAUUCGCUGGCUUAUUUCCGUGCUAGUUUUUUUAGGCUGAGCUUGCAUUUUAGGUUAUUACGAAAUAUUAAAUGCAGAGCUUGCAUUUCGUUAAUUGUUUCAUUCUCAAUAAAUUGCAAAGCUUGCUUUAUUUAAUAUUUCGUUCUUUAACUCUUCCCCCUUGAAUUUAUGCUUGUCCUCAAGCGAUUUCUAGAAAUAUGGAAUGUUAUUGAAUUGGGGUGGGUUUCUUUGUAUCCCAAUUGUUGAUUAAUUUCUGUUUGGUGGUGCGGUGAUUUCUGAUACUUUUGUUUCUCUGAUCGGUAUAGGCCCUAGCUGCAAUGUUAUAAUAUUCUGCUGUUGACUGUAUUUUUUUUGCAAUCCCAAGACGAUAGUCAGAUCAAUGCCAAAAAGCGUUACCAGAGUAAUACUGUUGAUCAAAGAGUGUGUUUUAAUGUGUUGCAAUUGUUUAAAUGUAAUACUUCUAGAGCUUCUAGGGAUAAUAUCCUCAAUCGUUCAGUUUCGUCAGGUGUAAACUGUACGAGAGGAAUUCCUGGUUUCAUAAUGGUGGAUUCCAGGUUGCUGAACCGCUUGUUGUUGAUUAGCACUGAAUCAUCUGAUAUUUGUAUUAGGUAGGUGCCCUCUAAAUGCAAAUCUGUGCCAUUCCAGGUUAUGUUGCCAUUGUAGUUGUUUAAUAGAAUGGUACCGUCGUCGAUUUCUUCCACCUCUGCUACGUGGUCAGCAUUGCUAAAUCUACACAUCGCUUUUACUCCUUUAAUUACUUAGGAGUACAAUUUGAAUUACUUAUAUUAACAAUAUUGUUUUUAUCAAACAUUUUUAUAUUUGCUUCUGUUUUACAAUUUUUAAGAACGCUAUAUAUAAAAUGUUUAUUAACAAAUAUUCCAUUUGUGUUUAAAUUUAUAAUUGAAUUAUUUUUAUACUCUCGCAACCUUUUGCACAUAGUAUAAUAGUUUUGUUCACAUAACGGUUGUUUGUGUCACCAAGAAAUAUAAGAGUUAGAUACGGGGUUAUAUAUACAUAAAUGAUCAGGAUGACGAGUGGAUUUGAAAUCCGGAUGUCUGUCCGUCCGUCUGUCCGUGCAAGCGAUAACUUGAGUAAAAAUUAAGAUAUCUUAAUGAAACUUGGAACAUACGUUCCUUGGCACCCAGAGGAGGUUGCUUUCGGGCAAAAUCGGUCCACAGCCACGCCCACAAAAUGGCGGAAACCGAAAACCUAUACAGUGUCAUAACUAAGCCAUAAAUAAAGUUAUGAAAAUGAAAUUUGGAACAUAGGAUCCCAUUAGGGAGGGGCACAUUUUGAUGUAAUUUUUUUGGACCCCACCCCCAAAUAGGUUUUGUAUAUAACUCGCAAACCAAUAAAGCUAUAUAAACCAAACUUUCUGCAGUCGUUUAUUUUAGCCAUUUCCUUAUACAGUUCAAAAAUGAAAGAAAUCGGAUAAUAACCACGCCCACCUCCCAUACAAAGGUUAGGUUGAAAAUUACUAAAAGUGCGUUAACUCCCUAACGAAAAACGUCAGAAACAAACUGAACUGAGAUUUUUUUACAAAAUGCAAAUUCGGUUUAUAACACUUUCUUGACACCCUGAUGAAUAUGGGUGGAAUAUGGGCGAAAUCGGUUCACAACUACGUCUACUUCUCAUAUAACUCAAUUUUGAAUUCUUUUGAUUCGUUCACUUUAUAAUACAUAUAUACAUUAGGAACAAAUGAAGAUAGCGGAAUAAAACAUUACACAAAUACUGUAUUUGAGCUGUGACAUCACUUGUGGAAAAAUUGUCAAAAUCGAACCAUGACUUUUCAAGGCCUCUGAUAUCGAACAUGAAGAACUCAGUUCCUAAGGGUAAUUUUUCAUCGGAUAUAUAGGUAAAUCCCUCAGAUAUUUUUAUGUAAUUCAUUCCCUCUGAAUUUUUUUCUUAUAACAGUUUCUCUCUGUACCUGAAAUGGUAAAAAUCGGGUCAUAACUUCCCCCAGAUCCCAUAUACCUAAUUAUAAGUAAUAUUAAAUUAAGUGAGCGUAUAGUCUUCGAAACAUUGUAUCUUGGUGGUGAAAACGAGUGAAAUCGGUUUAGGAAUUACCUCAGUCCCCAUAUACUAUUUAUGAUGAUUUUCGUUAUUCUAUUGAACUUUAUACCGAAUAUAUGGGUCGAAUUGUGUUAUCUUUAUAAAAUUACAUAAAUAAAUUGCGAGAGUAUAAAAUGUUCGGUUACACCCGUGAUGAUUACACUCCAUGAUUUCUUCUAUCGAAAGGCUUUCCAAAUUCCUCUUUUUUUAAUGUUCUAUAUUUAAAUUAACUCGUUUUAUUUAAUAAAGUUGCGUUUAUAAUAUUUAACCGUGCCCAUUGAGAUGAGUAAUUAAUAUUAACUAUUUACCUGUAGUGUCAGUCAUUUUUCAUAGUAAUAGUCUGUAAAUGUUAAAUUUUGAUAAAUUUUAUGGACUGUUUUUCCAGAUUCUGUUAAAAUAGUAGUGUUUUUGUUUUCCUUGAGUACUUCUUUUCCUAUCCUGGUUGAUAAUUAAUUACUUUCUUCCGAUUUUUGUUAUGGUUUAAUAAGUCUGUGUCUCUUUUUGUUCUUAAUAUGUCGAUGUUAUCCUGUCGAGCCUUUUCAUAUUGAUCUGGAUCUGUUGUUACUUUCCUACCGUAAAAUACCUCUAAUGGUCGUUUCUCCGUAACUGAAUGAAAUGAAUAAUUGUAUUCGUAUAUUGCCCUGUCUAAAAGUUCUUUGAAAUCUCGAUGAGUGGAUUCUUUUUUAGGACAUCUCAUUAUUUCUGAUAAUUUCGAAUGAAAUCGUUCUAUUUGUCCGUUAACGGUGCUUUUGUAUGGUGGAGCAUUAUAAAUUUCUAUUCCUAGUUCUUCUAACAUGAAUUUAAUGGAUUGUGAAUUGAAAUAUUUUCCAUUGUCCAAGACAAUAUGCGAAGUAAAAUACAAUAUCGCGCAAAGGGCUUCUAAUAUCUUCUAUUGCUUUAGAUUCAAUGAUUCGAGCUUGAGCUAGUUUGGAAAAUUUAUCUAUUGCCGUUAGUACAAGAUGUCGUUCUGUUGAGUAGAUGUCAAUAUGCAGUAUAUGACCGGGGUAUUCUGGAAUUGGAGUUAUAGUGUUAGGUAAUAAACCAUGAUUAGAAUUUUCAGCGUUGGGCUGUGUGGAAAUGAUAGAAUGAAUUUGUUCAGUUAUUAUUUUUGAGAUUGUAUCAUCUACAACGUUCUCUUUUCCCGAUUUAUCAAGUACUUCUUGAUCGUAAUCUUCUAGGAAAUUUAUUGAGCAAUCAUCGUAGAAUUCGUAAGUGUUGUUGUCGAUUUCGUCUACUCGGUCUAUGUACUCGUUCAAAUUUUCGUAAUCUGUCGUUGUAGCGUACGUUUCAGCGGAUUGUGUUUCCUCUUCUUUAUUAAAAGUUUGUAUGUUAAAGUUCCUCUGUCGUUUGUGUACUUCUGAUAUUUGAUCUGAUGGUCUUUUGCCAACUUCAAAGCGAGGUCGGUUCAUGUAAUUGACUAUUUUCGUUUGUAUACUGGGGUCCACGUCCAUAGGUUCUAGACGAGGCAAUGGUUUUUGUGCCAUAUGCCUAGGUGGGCCUGGAAUUGUCUAUUUGAGAAUGAUUGUCGAGGAGCGGCAGUAGGUUGGAAAUUGUUAAAGUUAUGUAUUGGUUGUGUGAUUGGUGGUUGUAGUCCAUAUUGUUGGUAUUGGUAAAGGCUUGGUGGGACUGGAGGUUGUUGUCCAUAUUGCUGGUAUUGGUAAAGUUUUUAUGGGAUUGAUUGUUGUCUAUUUAUAAAUUGAAUGUUGGGUGCAGCACCUGCUAAGUUUGGAAUUCUGAUUCCUGAAAUUGCUUGUUUGUCCUUUGUUUGCAGCAUGGUUUGCACGAAAAGUUUGGUUCUCUAAUUUCAAACACAGAUGUAGUGCUGAAGGUAAAUCUACUGGUUCUUUAAUUCCUAGUAGGCGCGGUAAGUCACCUCGCAACCCUCGUACAAAAGUAUCUAGAGCUUUAUCUCUGUACAUUUUCGUCAUUAGUUGUUCUGCUUCUCUACCUAAUCCCAUACAACAAGUUUUAUUCAAAAUUAGGGAUAAGUGCUUAUAGACUGUCUGAUAGAAUUCUUCUACUGAUUGAUUAUAGGUUUGGACUAACAUAGUCAUUUGGUAUUCUAAAGUAUUUAUGUCACGUUUGUCCGCAUAAUGUAAUGUUAGGCAUUUGGAAAUGGCUAAUUAUUUUAUACGAAGGUAUGCAAGAUGUCAUAGUAUUUUGGCGUACCUUGAUAAGCACUAUAUGCUUCUAGGAUAUCAUCUACACCCUUUUUCCAAGAACUGAAUUUGGAUGGGUCACCUGAAAACUCAUGUAUUGUUUUUACUAUGUCUGGUACCCUAUCUAAGUCACCUAAAUUCCAGGCAUGUUCUGGAGCGAUUACCUGAUCGGCUACAUUAGCGAAUUCUUCCGGCAAUCAAUAAUAAUCAAUAAUGAUAAUUUAAAAAUUGUUUUUAUAAUAAUAAUGAUUUUUAGUGGUAAAUUUAAUUAAUCUUACAAUACUAUGGUUAAUGAUGUGGCUCCUUCCCUCGACGAUCCGGAUUUCAUCCUUACUGUAACUUUUCUAUUACUACUGAGGCUCCUGCAAUGCGUACCUUCCUAGGGGUUUCCUGCGGCCUUGCCUACAAGACUUGGAGACCACCGAUGAUAGUUUUAAAAGACGUUUAUUUUCCGCGAAUUUGUGCGUUUUUCUACACUUCGCGAUUUGACCGGUUGCUGCAAAUGUUAUUGAAAGCCGCGAACUUACUGAACGUUUUGCCGUAUCGUUAUACGUACCGGUCCCUGCUCGGGCGCCAGUUAAUUUUAUUCUUAUUUAAAAGAAUAAAAAAAAAAUAAAAUACGAAAUGGAUGCUUUUAAUAUUCCAAUUUAUUUUUAUGACCAUUACUACUGACUUAUCAUGACUACUACUAAGUUAAGACUAUUCAUUACUAUUACUAAAUUAUGACUAUUUAAUUAUAUUAAACCAAGCCCUAUAUAAACGUGCGAUUUAGCUGACGCUGCUGAUCAAUUCGGUGCGCGUGUUUCUUGAUUCGCUGGCUUAUUUCCGUGCUAGUUUUUUAGGCUGGGCUUGCAUUUUAGUUUAUUACGAAAUAUUAAUUGCAGAGCUUGCAUUUCGUUCAUUGUUUCAUUCUCAAUAAAUUGCAAAGCUUGCUUUAUUUAAUAUUUCGUUCUUUAACUUAUACAUACAUAUGUAUGUAGGAUAUGUGCAGAGCAGAGUUCCUAAAACCAUCAAAAUACGAGAAGAGAACAUUUCAAAUACUCAGGAGCGCAAGCUUAACUAACAUUCUCAUCACAAAAAACUCCUCACGUAUAUGGCUCACUCAUAUAUUAGCAUAAGCAAGCAUUUUUAAAAGAUAACUAUUUGCCUAACGCAUCAUCUUUAUUUUUAUCGCUCUGAGUGUUCAAGUGAUGCGAAAAAUAAAACUCAUCUUUUUUACUUGUCAUUAGUAUUGUCUCUUAUUUAAAGAAAAAAAAAAGCAAAAGCAUAUAUGCCAGCGGGAUAAUGGUUCACCGCUUACAUUUUUCUUUGAAGAAUACUUCGAAGAAAAUUCUAUAUAGAAUUCUUCGAUACCAGGUAAUGCAUAAAAGUAAGCUAUACGGCUAAAUUCUACUGUGUGCAUAUUUACAAAUCAAGUAAGUACAUGAAAAACGACAAAUACAAAUUGAUGGAAUAAAAUUUAUAAGUAAAUUUUUUCAUUAUUUCGUCAAAUCAUCAAGCAGAAAGUUGGUCGUGAUCAGGUGAGCUACUAUUUUAAUUAAAAAUUUUGUUUAUUUUUUUGUGUUUAAACUUAGAAUAAAAAAUAAAGGAAUAUUCUCAAAAAGACAUAUGAGAAGACUUAUUAAAAAUGAGGAAAGUGAAUUUUACGGAAUGGCUGAAAAUGAUUCUGAAGAGGAUGCGGUGAAUUGUAGUGAAUUUUACGAAAUGACUGAAGAUGAUUCUGAAGAGGAAGCGGUGAAUUGUAGCUUUGACAAUAUUGAUGCUGAAGUCGAAUUUUUUGAAAAAGAAGAAAGUUCACAAAAAACGAACUGUGACAAAUUAAUUGAAAAAUUGAAAAUGUGGACUGCGCGUCAUAAAGUCACAAGGAACUGCUUCGAUGAUUUGUUAAAAAUAUUGCAGUCGGAGAAUAUUUCUGUACCAACAUCUUCGAAAGGAAUUUUAUGGCAAGCGACCUGCAGAUUGAGAACUGUUGCGCCAGGAAAUUAUUUGCACAUAGGCCUAGAAAAGCAACUAAGGAGUAUCGCGAUAACGUUGAGUGACGUUGAUAAAUUUGAAAUCGAUAUCGGUAUUGACGGCUUACCUUUGUACAAAAGCUCAAAUGUAAGCUUGUGGCCUAUAUUGGCAAAAUUGCAUCCAAAAAGAAAUACGAAGGUGAUGUUGAUUGGUGUUUUUAAAGGCAAGCAGAAACCGGCAGACGUGAAUAACUAUUUACACGAUUUUGCUUAUGAACUAAAAACUUUAACGCAAUACGGAAUGGAAGUCAAUGGCAGAAGAAUCAAAGUGAAAGUGCGAUGCUUUAUUUGCGAUGCCCCAGCAAGAGCAUUUAUCUGCCAAACAGUAGGUCACAACUCUUUUCAAGGAUGCAGCAAGUGCACACAAGUGGGUAAAAAAAUAAACCAUACAAUAACUUACAGUACAUUGACGGAAAAUCUUCGAACUGACGAUGACUUUGCUGCAAGAAAUAGCGUGGGCCAUCAUAAAAAAAUGGAAAAAUCGUGUCUCGAAGAAAAAGGUGUGGGAAUGGUCUCCGCUUUUCCUGUUGAACCAAUGCACCUUUUAGAUCUUGGAGUUGUAAGAAAAGUGCUAAAAUGUCUAAUUAAUGGUCCGAAUGUAGGAUAUCAGUUGACAAAGCAGCAGAAAAAUAUGCUGUCGAAAACUUUGAUUUCGUACAUACCUUACAUAUCCAAUGAAUUUGCUCGAAAACCACGAAGCUUAGAUGAAAUUGCAAGAUGGAAAGCAAUAGAGUUCCGACAGUUUGUACUUUACACGGGAAUGGUUGCUUUGAAAGACAUUGUAUCUGACAGUAUUUAUUAUCAUUUUUCUUUGUUGCACUGUGCAUAUGCAUUGCUUUCGUCACAAAAAACCUAUGAAAACAAUUUAGAAGAAAUAAAGCAAAUGCUUAAUUACUUCGUGCACCUUUUCCCAACCUUUUAUGGAGAAGAAAAAGUAAGUUACAAUGUACAUUCAGUCCUGCAUUUGGUGGACUCCGUUAAAUCGUGCGGUUUUCUGAAUUCAUUCUCAGCAUAUGCAUUCGAAAAUUUUUUGCAAACCCUAAAGCGGUUCGUUAAAGACCACGAGAAACAUUACAACAAAUAAAUAACAGAUACCAAUACGAAAACGUGUUUACAAAAGACAGAUAUGUGGGUCCAAAAGUCAAUAGAUGUGGGAAGGUUAUUCGAUUUUAUGGAAAUGACUUUAAUAUCAGCGAUAAAUUACCGGAUAAUUUUUGCUACGUUAAACCGGGAGUGGCAAUACAAAUUAUAAGAUUAUCGAAGAAAGAUGAUGAUCUUUAUAUGCAUGGAAAAGUUUUGAAAAACUGCUGCAAUCUAUUUACGGAACCAUUGAAAUCGAUGAUAGAUUUGGGCGUUUUCAUAGCUGACAUUGACACCGAAGAAGCGGAGCAAAUCUAUGAUGUCCAACUUAUUUUAUACAAAUUAAUGUGUCUGCCUUACAAUGAUCAAUUUGUAUUUCUACCGAUUAUUCACAGCAAGGACCUAUAAGAUGAGUUACCACGGGCUGAAGUCUUUUAGCGUGAAAUCGGUUGCGGAAAAUUACAAAAACGAAAAUUCUUGUCCAUGCAAAAUCGCCAGUCUGGAAAAUUGAUGAAAUGCAACAACAUAUAGAGAAAUUGACGAAACAAGUUGACACCACAAAUGAGCUGUUGCGAAAAUUAACCACCGUGCAGUCAGCAAAUAAUGCCCUCAUAAAUGCAAUGAGUUGCAGGCGCAAAUCUACUAAUAAAUUUCCAUUAAAAACUGAUGAAGCAUUAAAAGAACUUGACAAAGAAUUGGAAGGUAACAAGGAAAAAUAUAUGCCUAUAAUACAAGACCUGCUAGGUCACAAUGCAUUUGAAAAAUCACUGCAUAAAAUUAUAGCAGUUGAAUUGUUGCUGGAAUACAAUUACUUUGGUGUGAAGGGUAAAAAAUCUUUGAAGGAAUUUACGCACUUUAAUGCGUUACUAUUUGGUAAGUUUUUCGUAUUUUUAACAUUGAAGGACAUAGCUUCAAAUUUAUAAACAUACUCUUUCAACUUUUUUUGUAGAAUGUGUGAAAGUUGAAGGUUUCACCGAGUCGGAGUAUAUACACCCAAUUCAAAAAAGUAUCAAACUCGCCAAAGGCCGUUUCUUCAAGUCUCGUUGCUUGGAUAAAAAACGAAAAGAGGCUCAGCCACAAAAUUAAAAGCAGCAUACCAAUUCGAACAAAAAGGAACGAGAAAGGAUCUCGCGCACCUUUUUUCAUUACGACGUCGUUCGACCAAUAUCUCCGCUUUCGCAGCAUCCCGGUUCUUUCCGCUAGUUACCCCCCUGUAUAUAUAUUUAACGUUUUUUAAAACCUGCUGUUUUCAACCUUUGAUCAUUUUAUAUAUACUAUAUAUAUGUGUAUUUAACGUUUUUAAACUAUUUCAAUUUGUAAUAAUUCAGUUCAGUUAAACACAUUUUGUUAUAACAAUUUUUAAGUGCAUUUCGCAAAAAAUAAAACCUUUAUAACGAUUGUAUCGAAUUUAACUGUGGCAUGGUGGAAUUCUUUGUUAACUAUGGCAUCAAAGAAUUCUUCGUUAACUAUGGCAUCGAAGAAUUCUUUGUUAACUAUGGCAUCGAAGAAUUCAUCGUUAACUGUGGCAUCGAAGAAUUCAUCGUUAACUGUGGCAUCGAAGAACUCUUCGUUUACUUUGGCAUCGAAGAAUUCUUCGUCCCUAUGGUAAGCGAAUGGGGUGAUCUGUUACUUUUCGUAGGACAUCGCCGUGUUAAUUUUCAUCGGUCGGAGUAAGCGAAACAAUCAUGCUACAUCGUUUACCUUGCUCGCUUACCAAUGUCUACCAUAUCCCGCUGGGUACAUAUGUAUUUACAAAUAAAGAAUAGACACUCAAAUUUUUAUUUACAUAGUUAUUUUCCGUAUUUGUACAUACAUAUGUACGUGCAUAAGUAAGUACUUAUGUAUUUAUUAAAACAAACAAAACAUGUAUAUAUUUCAAUAGAAAAAGAACACAAAUAAUUCAAUAAAUAAAGUUGAUAAUUUUUUAAUGAAAAAUUACCUUAAGAAAAAUUCAUAUUAUUAAAAAGUUCUUCAUUUGACCUUAUCAAAAGCAAAUUAUUGAUAUUUUGUGGGUUGAGCCUGGAAUGAUGCUUAGUUAAAAUUAACGAAAGAGCACUAAAGGCACGUUCCACUGAAGUUUAACUACAUGGAACAGAUGGAACUACUUCGGCUAAUUUGGCUAAAGCUGGCUCAUGGCUUCGCAAACCUUUCCAGUAAUCCAGUAUGUUUUUUUGGAAAGGCAUCCGAGUUUCGUGUGCUAGUCCUUCAAGUUUUUUACGAAUUGUUUGAACAUUGCUUGUUGACUGAGGAGAUUGCUGAGUCCAAGAAGUAACUUUUUGUUCAAGUAAGUGAAAAGUAUCAUUUGAAGACAGAGAAGGUUCGAAUUCAACUUGGCUGGCCACUGGAUCUGCAUCAUUGCAUAUUGGAUUUCCCUCCAAAGAACUUAACAUUGUGCUUGUAGAAAUUAUAUGUGACUAGAGAAUAUAAACCAACAAAAAAUGAUAAUCAUAUUUUAUCGAUCAGUAAAUUUGGUAGGGUCCUUAAUGUCAUGCAUAAUUUUUAGUAAAUAAUAAAGUAAAGAUAUUAUAGAUUGAAAUGUACUUACUACCGCCUGUUUUCUUCGCAUUUCAUUGAAGAACAGUGAAUCCAUAUAAUUAAAUCUUCGAUCCAUAUAUAAAGCGGAAACGAAUGCAUUGUUUUCAAGAAGCUUUUCCUUCCGCAACUGCAUUGAUCUUAAUAAAGUACUAGCGAAGAUAUUGUUCGGCAUAGUUUCCAAUUUCGUUUCGCAAAGUAACCAAUCCC